rnacentral:rRNA from 1 species
UGUGCCUACGGGGGGCAGCAGUGGGGAAUAUUGGGCAAUGGGCGCAAGCCUGACCCAGCAACGCCGCGUGAAGGAAGAAGGCUUUCGGGUUGUAAACUUCUUUUAUUGAGGACGAAACAAAUGACGGUACUCAAUGAAUAAGCCACGGCUAACUACGUGCCAGCAGCCGCGGUAAUACGUAGGUGGCAAGCGUUAUCCGGAUUUACUGGGUGUAAAGGGCGUGCAGCCGGGAAGACAAGUCAGAUGUGAAAUCCCGCGGCUCAACCGCGGAACUGCAUUUGAAACUGUUUUUCUUGA